AACUGCUGUUUACUUUCUGCUGGCGACCGACGUGACUGGACCGAGGUCUACAGGCUGAAGGAGAACUGCGGAGAUGGCGUCUACUGGACAUGGAGAAGAUGGAGAGGAGGUGAAGAGGAAGAGAGAAGACAAGAGGAAGGAGGAAGAAGAAGGUGAAGAUGGAGUCAAGAGGAGGAGAGGAGAUGACGAUGGAGGAUCAGAGGAUGAGGAGCCAACACCUGGGAUGGUGUCCACUGGACAUGGAGAAGAUGGCGAGGAGGAGAAGAGGAAGAGGGAAGAGGAAGGCGAGGAUGGAGUCAAGAGAAGGAGAGGAGACGACAAUGGAGGAUCGGAGGAUGAGGAGCCAACACCUGGGAUGGCGUCCACUGGACAUGGAGAAGAUGGCGAGGAGGAGAAAAGGAAGAGCAGAGGCAAGAGGAAGAGGGAAGAGGAAGGCGAGGAAGGAGUCAAGAGGAGGAGAGGAGACGGCGAUGGAGGAUCAGAGGAUGAGGAGCCAACACCUGGGAUGGCGUCCACUGGACAUGGAGAAGAUGGCGAGGAGAAGAGGAAGAGUGAAGGCAAGAGGAAGAGGGAAGAGGAAGGCGAGGAUGGAGUCAAGAGGAGGAGAGGAGACGGCGAUGGAGGAUCAGAGGAUGAGGAGCCAACACCUGGGAGCAGCCAAGGAACAUUGGGCACCUACCCCAGACUAACGGUCAGCAGCUACCAUCUUCACCAGCUCCUGGGUAGGGGCAACUUUGGCAAAACCUAUAAAAGACUCCCUGAAGGGCCUACACUUGGGACUAGGUGUGAACGGAUCCCUUGGGGCGCGUCCAUGUACUGUGUUCUGGUAGAUGGUAGAUGGAAGUCGGGGUGCCCAAGAUGGUAGAAAACCAGACGCAGGGAGAAGAGGAGAAGAUACAAUGGGGUCUUUACUUCUGGAGCAGGGUGUAAAUGGUAUCCAUACAUGGACCUCUAUAGCUUCAUUACAAUCUUACAGAAACCUACUUGGAUCAGGAGAUGAGAACCACACUGAUCCCAACCAACUCAAAGACAUGUCUAUUCAUUUUUCAAAUUAUUAAUAGAGUUGGGAGAUAAAGUAAGUGAACCCCCUGGAAUUCCCUCUAUUUGUGCAUUAAAGGGGUACUCCGCUACUAGACGUCUUAUCUCCUAUCCAAAGGAUAGGGGAUAAGAUGUCUGAUCGCGGGAGUCCCGCUGCUGAGGCUCCCUGCAAUCUUCUCGCAGCAGUGGUCUUGACGUCACGCUAUGCCCCCUCCAUUCAUGUCUAUGGGAGGGGGGAAUUGUCGACUGACACACCCCCUCCCAUAGACAUGAAUUGAGGGGCCAUAACGUGACAUCACAAGGGGACAUGGCAGUGACGUCACGAUCACGGGCUCCGGCUCUGAGCGUUCUGAACAAAAUGUCCCUUUAACUACUAAUAAGAUUUGUUCCCCAAAAAUGUAAGUGAAUUCUUCUGAUUCAGAACAAAUUACUUGUUAUACCUCCGGGAUGUUGUCCUGUGACUGACCAUGUCCGGCUCUCCUCCUUUUGGAUCAUCUGUGAACAGAUGUUGGAAUUCUGUGUUCAUAUGGAUCCAUAUGUCCUGAUCCUGGCACAAGUAUCUUUACUUGGAGAACUUGACCCGCUGUAUUUGUAGGGAUACAUCCCCCAUUGGUGCUUCUGGAUGACGCAUUCUCAUCCUCUUUCUCAAUGAGGAUACUAUUUUUCUUUCUGGAUCCAUCAUUUCUGUAGGGAUUUCUGCCCAUUUUUGAGACUAUUUAUCAUGUUGGACCCAAGAAUUCCAUGGUAAUAAUUUCAUACAUUUUUUGGACCAUUGUUUAUAUUGAUGGGAUCCCCUUCUUUUGCCUUUUCUACUUUCCCUAUUUCACAGGGACUGUAACACUAAUCUGGUAAUCUUUGUCCAUUGAAGAAAACUGCAGUACCACAAAGUGGACUAUUCUGCACAGGAAUAUUCAUAUAUUGAGUGAAUUUUUGAAAAAUUUGAUUCAGUUGAUUUGCCGAAUUUACUUGCAGCGAAUCUGUAUAAAAAAAUGGCUAUUUCUGGCCUACAGAGAGCCUCAAAAGGGGUGUAGAACACUUUGCCUUACAGUAACACGCAUAGGGUGUGUGCUGGGUUAGUGAAAUAAUACUGUUAUUCAGUAUGACAUGCAGAUUAGAGGCGUCACUAUUAGAAUCACUGUCACAUCAAUAGCCUGAGAGUGUGGAGAUGGAAGUGGUGUGCCCUGUCCAAGUUGCUGUUGUGGCCCACCUUCUCUUCCACAAAAUUGUGCAGGACUGGUACUGCCUUCUUCGCAAAGAAAUGACUGCUUGGGACUCUUCACCUCGGCUCAGCACAAGCCAUCAGUUUUUUGAAAGGUGCCGAGUCCACCACUUGAAAAGGGAGGGACUGCAGCACCAGCAACUUGAACAGGAGCACAUUCAGCUUCUGCGCCAUUGGAUUGGAGUGGGAGCAUAAUGUUGUCUCUUGGACAUGGCUUCGCCAAUGGAUUGCUGGCGGAAUGACUGUCUUGAAGUAGGAAGAGCAGGAGCAUCUGGAGCGACAUAAGAUAGGUAUGACACACAGCUCCCUUUGGCUGAGGUGGUGGAGCCUUGGCUGGCUGAAACAAGGAGCGGCGUGCCACUGGAUGAUGCAGCAGGCUGGACCACCACAUCGGAGCCACCGUUCUCCAUGGCCGCUUUUUUGGUGACACAGCAUGUGUGUACGCAGGGCCGUGGUGCCAACAUUGGGACCCUGGCCUUGCUUCACCUUCUG